GUCAUUGGAGAUUUCACAUGGCUGUCUGACAGCAAAUUUUCCUUUCCGUUCGUUAGGAGGUACCAGCCAACAGAAGCCUGAAGAGAGAUAAUUUUCUUCGAAUUCCCACAGAGGACCUUUGACACAUUCAUGAAGUUACAAAAACAUUUGGAUGAGCCAGUCUACAAAAAUGGGUGCUGUUGCCUCAUUUAUGUAGAAUAUGCCGAGUUGGAAGGGACCCACAAAUAUCACUGCGUCCAGCUCCUGGCUCCACACAGGAAUACCCCCAAAUCAAACCAUAAGUCUGAGAUGGUUCUCCAAAUGCUUGAACUCCAGCUGGACUGGGGCCAUGGCUACUUCCCUGGGGAGCCUGUUCCAGUGCCCCACAACCAUCUUG